UACGUAGGGUGCAAGCGUUGUCCGGAAUUAUUGGGCGUAAAGAGCUUGUAGGCGGUUUGUCGCGUCUGCUGUGAAAUUUCGGGGCUCAACCCCGAACUUGCAGUGGGUACGGGCAGACUAGAGUGUGGUAGGGGAGAUCGGAAUUCCUGGUGCGCGGUGAAAUGCGCAGAUAUCAGGAGGAACACCGGUGGCGAAGGCGGGUCUCUGGGCAGUAACUGACGCUGAGGAGCGAAAGCGUGGGGGAGCGAACAGG
rnacentral:rRNA from 1 species